UGACAAGUUUUUUGGAUGCUGAGUCACGCUCUGUUAUCUUUUUCAUGGUAUUGUAGAUGUGCAGUAACAUUUGAUAAAUGAUCUAAUAUCCCGCCUUGUGAGGCAGCAAGCAGUUCUUCUGAUCAAGCAAAUAGGAGUGCAGGAAUACUUUUUGUAGAGUGAGAAGCAAAAAUGUAUUACUCCCAAAAAUAAUGAUGUGCAUAGUUCUUUUCUGUUUUCAAGGUGAAAAAGGAUGGAUGAACUCUGAAUUCAUACUCAUUACAGUGAUACAGAAUGAUA